UUUUGUUAGAGAGAGAUGAAGAGAGAAGACGCCAGAGAGAAGAGGUCGUAGGAUUCAACUGGGAGCAGGGCCAUGAUUCGACGCCCGGGGUGAGAUCGAAGGAGGAUUGGUGACGGGGAGGGAUUACACUCAUUAUUCUGCCCCCAUUCCGUAUAUACAAGAAUCGACUACUUCAUAACAUUUGGAAAAGAAAAAGACAAAAUAAUCACCUGUGGAAUUGGGACAAUAGAUCAAGACCAUGACAUUCUUCUUCAGUGUGGUACAGGAUUGAUCACCAUAUCAUCUGGGAUGUAACCUUACAUAUCUACAAACCCUUUAUGCUGUUCAACCUCCUGAGUUUGUCCAGCAGAUUAUUUGCUGAUGAAAACAAGGCAACAGAGGACCAUGAAAGACCUAGCGUUACAGCAAGUUAGAAUGAUAAGGCCACAGGGAAGAGUAAGUCUAAGGGUAGAAGUGAGACUUCAGCCAUUGGAAACUUAUUUGACUUACCCUGGCUUUGAUGAUGGUGGGUCGAGGAUCAAGGAUUCCUUGCAUUUUCCUCAGUGCAGGUAUAACAAAGAGAUUGCAGGUGACAACUGCUGA